GGUUAAGCGACUAAGCGUACACGGUGGAUGCCCUGGCAGUCAGAGGCGAUGAAGGACGUGCUAAUCUGCGAUAAGCGUCGGUAAGGUGAUAUGAACCGUUAUAACCGGCGAUUUCCGAAUGGGGAAACCCAGUGUGAUUCGUCACACUAUCAUUAACUGAAUCCAUAGGUUAAUGAGGCGAACCGGGGGAACUGAAACAUCUAAGUACCCCGAGGAAAAGAAAUCAACCGAGAUUCCCCCAGUAGCGGCGAGCGAACGGGGAGCAGCCCAGAGCCUGAAUCAGUGUGUGUGUUAGUGGAAGCG
rnacentral:rRNA from 1 species